rnacentral:rRNA from 1 species
CCUACGGGAGUCAGCAGUGGGGAAUAUUGCACAAUGGGGGAAACCCUGAAGCAGCGACGCCGCGUGAGUGAUGAAGUUUCUCGGUUUGUAAACCUCUAUCAUCAGGGAAGAAAAUGACGGUACCUGACUAAUCAGCACCGGCUAACUACGUGCCAGCAGCCGCGGUAAUACGGAGGGUGCAAGCGUUAUCCGGAGUUACUGGGUGUAAAGGGCGCGUAGGCGGGGUUGCAAGUCAGUAGUGAAAGCCCAUGGCUUAACCAUGGUACUGCUUUUGAAACUGUGGAUCUAGAGUGGGGGAGAGGUAGGCGGAAUUCUUAGUGUAGGGGUAAAAUGCGUAGAGAUCAGGAGGAAUAC